rnacentral:rRNA from 1 species
AGUGAACGCUGGCGGUAGGCCUAACACAUGCAAGUCGAACGGCAGCACAGUAAGAGCUUGCUCUUACGGGUGGCGAGUGGCGGACGGGUGAGGAAUACAUCGGAAUCUACUUUUUCGUGGGGGAUAACGUAGGGAAACUUACGCUAAUACCGCAUACGACCUACGGGUGAAAGCAGGGGAUCUUCGGACCUUGCGCGAUUGAAUGAGCCGAUGUCGGAUUAGCUAGUUGGCGGGGUAAAGUCCCACCAAGGCGACGAUCCGUAGCUGGUCUGAGAGGAUGAUCAGCCACACUGGUACUGAGACACGGUCCAGACUCCUACGGGAGGCAGCAGUGGGGAAUAUUGGACAAUGGGCGCAAGCCUGAUCCAGCCAUACCGCGUGGGUGAAGAAGGCCUUCGGGUUGUAAAGCCCUUUUGUUGGGAAAGAAAAGCAGCAGGUUAAUACCCCGCUGUUCUGACGGUACCCAAAGAAUAAGCACCGGCUAACUUCGUG